GAUGAAGAACGCAGCGAAAUGCGAUAAGUAGUGUGAAUUGCAGAUUUCAGUGAGUCAUCGAAUCUUUGAACGCACAUUGCGCCCUGUGGUAUUCCGCAGGGCAUGCCUGUUCGAGCGUCAUUUCAACCCUCAAGCUCUGCUUGGUGUUGGGCCACGCCCUCGCGGCCGGCCCCAAAGCCAGUGGCGGCGCCGUCCGGCUCUAAGCGUAGUACAUCUCUCGCUCUAGGGCCCGGCGGCUGCCUGCCAGAACCCCAAACUCUUAUGGUUGACCUCGGAUCAGGUAGGGAUACCCGCUGAACUUAAGCAUAUCAAUAAGCGGAGGA
rnacentral:misc_RNA from 1 species